GUAGGUGGCAAGCGUUGUCCGGAAUUAUUGGGCGUAAAGCGCGCGCAGGCGGUUCUUUAAGUCUGAUGUGAAAGCCCACGGCUCAACCGUGGAGGGUCAUUGGAAACUGGAGAACUUGAGUACAGAAGAGGAAAGCGGAAUUCCACGUGUAGCGGUGAAAUGCGUAGAGAUGUGGAGGAACACCAGUGGCGAAGGCGGCUUUCUGGUCUGUAACUGACGCUGAGGCGCGAAAGCGUGGGGAGCAAACAGGAUUAGAUACCCUGGUACGUCCACGCCGUAAACGAUGAGUGCUAAGUGUAGGGGGGUUUUCCGCCCCCCUUAGUGCUGCAGCUAACGCAUUAAGCACUCCGCCUGGGAUACGGCCGCAAGGCUG
rnacentral:rRNA from 1 species